rnacentral:ribozyme from 1 species
GUAGUCUCCCAGAUCCUGUCCCGUGAAAGCCGGGACUAGAGAGCCCUUAAAAGCUCUCUACGAUGCUUAUAAAGACUAAUU